rnacentral:tRNA from 1 species
GGACCCGUAGCUUAGCCUGGCUCAAAGCGCCAGUCUUAUAAGCUGGAGAUCCGGUGUUCAAAUCACCGCGGGUCCA